AUGAACGUUGGCGGCGUGCUUAACACAUGCAAGUCGAACGGUGAACACGGAGCUUGCUCUGUGGGAUCAGUGGCGAACGGGUGAGUAACACGUGAGCAACCUGCCCCUGACUCUGGGAUAAGCGCUGGAAACGGCGUCUAAUACUGGAUAUGUGACGUGACCGCAUGGUCUGCGUUUGGAAAGAUUUUUCGGUUGGGGAUGGGCUCGCGGCCUAUCAGCUUGUUGGUGAGGUAAUGGCUCACCAAGGCGUCGACGUGUAGCCGGCCUGAGAGGGUGACCGGCCACACUGGGAUUGAGACACGGCCCAGACUCCUACGGGAGGCAGCAGUGGGGAAUAUUGCACAAUGGGCGAAAGCCUGAUGCAGCAACGCCGCGUGAGGGAUGACGGCCUUCGGGUUGUAAACCUUUUUUAGCAGGGAAGAAGCGAAAGUGACGGUACCUGCAGAAAAAGCGCCGGCUAACUACGUG
rnacentral:rRNA from 1 species